AGUAACACGUGGGCAACCUGCCCUGAAGCGGGGGAUAACAUCUGGAAACAGGUGCUAAUACCGCAUAACAACGAAAACCACAUGGUUUUCGUUUCAAAGAUGGUUUCGGCUAUCACUUCAGGAUGGGCCCGCGGUGCAUUAGCUAGUUGGUAAGGUAACGGCUUACCAAGGCGAUGAUGCAUAGCCGAGUUGAGAGACUGAUCGGCCACAUUGGGACUGAGACACGGCCCAAACUCCUACGGGAGGCAGCAGCU
rnacentral:rRNA from 1 species